CGCGUGCACGCUUGAGAAAGGCGCCCAGGGCCCAUCUCACAUUCUCGCACUGCUGCCUGCUGGCUAGGCAGACGUUGGUGGGACCUUGGGCUGUCGCUGACUGGAAGCACUUUAAGCGUCGCCUGGAUCAGAGCAGGCCAGGGCAGAAGGCACUGGGCAAACAAGACUGACUGCCCCGAAGUCACUUGGAAAAGUGGGAGACGCUCUACUUUCAAAGCCUGCCUUUUGCUCAAAGAACAGCAGCGAGUGUACACCCCAGCAAAGGACAACGGAGGGGCGUUUGAGUGGUUCUUUGCACAGAGGGCCCUGGCUAUGGCUGUUUUGAGUCCUUCUGACUACCUGGGCUGCUCACUCAACGCCCCCCCUCCCCCCCCCCCCGUUGUUGUGCUGCUUUCCUUUCAAGGGAGUUGAACUCUCUUUAAAGCAUCUCUAGGUGGUGGUUCUUAUGGGCCAAGGCCUGGCCCAGGUCAGAAAUCCUCUCUCCAGGAGCAGAUUGGAUGUAGAGUUGUAGUAGCCCUCUGAGGGAACUCUUUUCUCUCCUCAUAUGGCGGCUGUAGCACUUGGGCCUCGGUUCGGGCAACGGCCCUCCACCCCAGGAAUGCCUGAUAAUUGGUGCCUGUCCAUCUCGACAAAGCCAGGAGCACCUUCUGGGCGCGCUCCUUGACCCCUGACCCAUUGUAGGGGCCGAUAACGUCGAACCCGGACUGCGUGGGUGUUUUUCUGUCUUGUCUCUGGUAUUUCCUUCUCUCCCCUUACGCUCCUCCCUCCCUCCCUCCCCACCGCUUUUCCUUCAGGAUUCGAAGCAAUAAUUAGAAAGAAAGGGGUGGGGGAGAAACACUAGCACUUCCCCACAACCCCUUGCAAGAAAGUGGGGCUCACUCAAACCUCUCUUUGUACUUCAGCCUCAGGUCAGGGGAGGACAGGAAGAAACAGUAAUAAGACAAGUGACGCAGUAGGUGGAGGUGUGGAGGAAGAAGGAAUAGAAUGUGGAUGUAUAUCUCUGCCCUAGGGAAGCAAAACAGGCCAGACAUCUUGAGGUUAUUUUUUUUCUCUCAGUUAUGGCCAGAGGACUAUAGGAUAGUGUGAGGCCUAGGCACCCAAGGAAGGAAGAAGAGAGUUCUGGCUGUGUCCAGAAGAGGCCCACCAAGCCAAAGGUACCCUAUGCACCAUGUUCUAUAGCCUGCUAGCUGCUUGACAAUCACAGGUUUAUUGAGCCCCUAAUGGGCCCCCAUAUGUGAUUAGAAUUUGGCUUGGUGGGAUGCAAGGCUUGGCUGAGAGCAGAGAUUCAAAAGCUCAAGCCUGGGCCCCCCAAAGCUGAUUCUCCAGGGUUUCCCAAAUGGUCACACUCUCUUCACAGCUUUUGUGUAGCUUUUCCCCAUCCUAAACAGUCCAAAUGCCCCGCCUAAGGCCUAGUUAUUGGCAGUAAGAGCUGUAAGCUAAAAUCAUGGUGGUAUUUUGGCCCCACGCUCUUCGCCUUGGCCCCACCUGCUUUUCUCCUCCUGCCCAACACUGGAAUGUGUGUGAGCACACCCCACACACUCUGAGAGCUUCUCCAAGGUGGAAUUUGAAAGAAGUUCUGUGCCCGUGGUCAAGGUCAAGAGGCUGUGUUUACACUUCAGUUCCUAAUGUAUGUGUAUUCCCCCCCACCUCAAAUUGCAGAUAAGGAGGAAGUGACUACAAAAUGGUGCAUGCGUUUAUUACGUUACCAAGUAUUCAGGUGCAAGAAUGAGACCUGCUUCAUGCAGAACUCCCAGGACUAUCUUCCAUAUUCCUACAUCUUUCCUUCAAUCUGAACUUUCUCAAGAUUUUAAAAAUGGACACCUACCGCCAUAUUGGCUGCUUCUCUGGUGCCCUCCGCAUGUUUUGGAUUAAAACUCCCAUUCUCUCUGGCCAUUGACUGUGCUGGUGGGGACCAAUGGGAGUUGUAGUCCAAAACAUCUGGAAUGUACCAGGUUGGGGAAGUCCGCUUUCCAGCAUCAUUGGGGAAAUGUAAUCUGUGGAGCAGUUCUUGGCUUCCUAGAUUCCAGCUCUGGGAACAGGGCAGCUUAGUGGUCAUACAGUUUGAUUUUUCCUUUUUAGGAUCCAGGGCCCUGAUUCUUUUUACCACAGGCCAUUAGGGAAAGAGUAAAGUUCAAGCCAGCCUAUUUGCUGCUAGGCCUCCUGGGUUGAAAAAUAUAAAACAGUGCUACCCAACUCCCUCAUUCAUCCUUGGGGGUAUCUCUCUCAGUAUUCCUUUUUUCAUGGCCCUGCCCCACAUUUAUCUGGAUCUGAAGUGGCGGGGGGGAUCAUUAAUUGAAUGUCUACAAAGCAUUUUGGUUUCCUUCCUUGCGUGGGGCUGUGUUGGAUUGGAGCACCUCUUCACAGGCUGUGUCAGUUGAUUUGGGGACUCCAUUCUGAUUGGGCUAGUAGGAGAGGGCCUGUCAGGGUUUCCUUUCGUGAGGCUGUGUUGUGGGAGGAGACUCUCCUUUGACUUUUGGGGUUUGGCUUUGAUCCCUUCAUUGAACUACUUGAUAAAAGGGGUAUGAAAAUAACUUCAUAGGAGGGAGAACUUUUAAUUUCUCCCCACUCUGCUCCCUCCUGAAGAUUCAACCAAGCACACCCAAUAGGCGUCCUCGUCUUUCUGUCCAUCUGUCCCUCUCUGUGUGCUGGGUGUCUCGCGUUUUGUCUGCCCUGAAAAGCAGGUUGGCCUGCUCUCAUCCACCUCGUCCGGCCGGUCCGGUUCUGAGUCGCUGCGCCAUCUUUUGUGUCCGCGUUGAUUGGCCUCUGUUCUGUCCUUGUGUUGUGGCUUGAACACUCCACAGCGUGUCCAAUAAAAAAGAUUUCAGAAAGUU